UGGGGAAUAUUGGACAAUGGGCGAAAGCCUGAUCCAGCCAUGCCGCGUGUGUGAAGAAGGCCUUUUGGUUGUAAAGCACUUUAAGUGGGGAGGAAAAGCUUAUGGUUAAUACCCAUAAGCCCUGACGUUACCCACAGAAUAAGCACCGGCUAACUCUGUGCCAGCAGCCGCGGUAAUACAGAGGGUGCAAGCGUUAAUCGGAAUUACUGGGCGUAAAGCGCGCGUAGGUGGUUAUUUAAGUCAGAUGUGAAGGCCCCGGGCUUAACCUGGGAACUGCAUCUGAUACUGGAUAACUAGAGUAGGUGAGAGGGGAGUAGAAUUCCAGGUGUAGCGGUGAAAUGCGUAGAGAUCUGGAGGAAUACCGAUGGCGAAGGCAGCUCCCUGGCAUCAUACUGACACUGAGGUGCGAAAGCGUGGGUAGCAAACAGGAUUAGAUACCCUGGUAGUCCACGCCGUAAACGAUGUCUACCAGUCGUUGGGUCUUUUAAAGACUUAGUGACGCAGUUAACGCAAUAAGUAGACCGCCUGGGGAGUACGGCCGCAAGGUUA
rnacentral:rRNA from 1 species